GACAACAGUUUUUCUGUUUAAAAAUUCAGAAGAAUCCCAUGCUUGUUGCUUUGCUUUACUUUGUGUUGCGCAAGUACAGCUUAAGUUCUUAAGUUACUUAGAUUUCCUUCUAUUCUUGAUAAGUUAUCUGCUGUACUCUCUGCAUAGCAACUAUGUUUCUUGACUGUCCUGGGGAGCUAUGCAGCCUUCAAUGAGGAACAGGGAACGGAAGCUGCUUGGGGAAUUCUUUGACUGGCGAACACCGGCUGCUGCGGAGAGGAUCUCAAAUGUACACCACUCACAAAUCUCAGGAUAAAAUCAAAUGGGAUUCUGGAGAUGCCGUGCUCUACUACUCCACAGUGCUUCAUAAAUCAAUGUGAGAUGUGCCCAUGCUGAUUCACAUGGUCUGCAGUUGGCAUCUAUCAACAAAACUGCUACCUGCACCUUCAUUUGGAAGGAAUCCAGAGCAAUCAUAAGGAAACAUUUAGAGGAAUAGAAGAGAAAGAGAUGGGAUGUAUAUGGCAAGCCAGACUGGAAGGAGACCAGUAACAAAAUUCACCAAAAUAUCACUAAUGUCCUGGGGGUCACUGUCUCUUCAUACAGUGAGGGUGUCAACCGAUUCCUCUGCAACGUUAGAGUUGAAGAAUUUGCCUUAUUCUCAUCAUUUCCAACUGUCAGUACAAAAAUAAAAAUUUGAACUGGAAAGAGAUUGGAAAGGUGAAAGUUGCGAAGAUGCCGUAGUGGCAAACCCACUACAGUUCUGAUGCAGAUGCCAAAGGCUCUGUGCCCUUCAAUCCCAUUAUUAGCAGGAACCUCCUUUUUCAGGAUAUGAAAGAAGAGGCAGAGGAACCUACAGAAGGCAAGCUUUAGCCUAGAACAUGCAUUGGGAAAGUGAGAAGCAAGAUUUCUCUAAGUACUCCGUCCCCAUGGAUGCCUCUGUGAUUGAAAGAAGACUUCAGUGAACUGAGGAGGCAUGACUCUUCAGUGACAGAAUCUAUAGGUUUGCAAUAUUUCACAUGAUGUGGAUCCAGAGAAAACAGUCAAUUUCUUUGGAGCACCUCUGAAUUUCUCAUCUGCAUUGGGAAUCAUUGGCAAGCUAAAUCUCUGAUACCUGAAGCCCCAGACUAGCACUAGCUGGAAAAGAGAUAAGUGUUUGGUCUCAUCCCAUAUCUAAUGUCUAGUAGACAUCUAAAUCUUAAACAAGAAGAAUCACCUUCUGAAAAUAUUGCUUUGUUAACUAUUCUAGUCUUUGAAAAUGGAGACACAUGUGCACUUCUGUAGGCUAUUUCAUACCUUUGUCUCUCAUAAGAGGAAUGUCUUCAGAUGACCAAAAGUAAAUCUUAUCCUUCACUUUCAAAUAGGUGAAGUCUGAUGGGAUGAAUUUCAACCCACAACUGAAAUACUUCCAAAUUUUUCCUGAAAAAAGAACAGAGUAAUUUAAGAAAUGGUUAGGAAGUCUGAAGUCCGUGAUAAAAUCAUCUUGGGCUUCAAGGCUUCAAUAGCUAGCAUUCUUGCCAGUCCAAAUAUGAGGAAAAAUAUAAAGCUAAAUAUUUAUAAUAUUUAUAAAAAUCUUUCAAAAAUACUCACAUACAGGAGUACUGUUUGGGGAAGAUACCUUAUCAACAAGAUAAGACUAUUGACUGUUUAAGAGUAGCACAAUAAAAGCAAUUCAUGUGAAAUAUUAAUAGGGGAACUAAUUAGAGAUGAGAUGGAGUGAGCUGUAAUUAUACCGAUGUCAAACCUAAAACAGGAAGAAAAAUGUCCCUUCCCCCCAACUAAGAAAAGUACUUGUGUUCAGCAGCAUGCUGAAAGCUAUACUUAUCAAAUGAAAGCAUUAAUAAGCAAAGAAAUAAUCUAUCUAUUUAAAAAUGAGUACUCAGAAUUUUUAGAAAGAUAUAAGGGGGAAGGGGAGGGAAGGAGGAAGAAAAAGCAAACAAUAGGUUGGCUUUGAUUCUGAAAAUUACGCAACUUUCUCUUUUUAGUAGAAUAUAAAACAGUGUAUGGACUGAUAAUGCAUAAUUGAAUAUAAAUCAAUUUUCAUUCCAGAUUCAAUACCAAAAUUUGCUUGGAUAUCUGAGAGGUUCUUUGUGAGACAUGAUUUUAUCAAUUGCAGAUGUACCAGUAAGUUAGUUUCACUCUGAAUGUCUAAAACCAGGCAAAGUAGUGUUGAUUCUUCAUGAAGUAAAUAUGCAAAAGGUAAAUGACUGGACAUAUGAUAGUGUGAUUUCAUCUAUCUUUAAAAGUUUGCUAGAUCUUAUUUAGUAACCCACUUGAACCUGAAUUGGAAUAGUGAAAUGUGUCUACGUAGGCCUGUCCAAAAGUAAUAUACCUAUUUAUUUCCAUUGAAACUACAAUAGAGACAAAGAGCACUACAACACUAUUUGAUAGAGGAAAUUCUCAGCUACUGAACAAAAUUUUUCAGUGCCUUCACCAUCAUUAGCCAAUCCAUGUGAAGGAACUGAUUGAAACACUUCAUUUCUUGGUGUGACAGCUGUGUAUGGCUGUCUGGAUCACGGCUUUUAUUUCAUGCCACUGUCAUCACUACUGAAAUGCACCCCCUUACUGUGCUGACAUCAACCAUUUGGUCUCAAUAAUUGUUCACCAAGCACUGAUGAAUGUCAAUGGGUGCUUUUUUUUCCACACAGAGGGAUUCAGAGAGACACCUUUGCUUCAUAAACACUUCAAUGUCAGAUACCAUUUUGUCAGACUACCACUCUGCUGCUGUCUGUCACACAGAAAUAACAUGUGUUGGAAUACUGGGGGAAAAGAACAAUUUCUACUGCCAUCCCAGCAGAAUCUGCCCCUGAUGUCAUGGGCCAACAUAAUAAAAUAGGAGGCAUUACUUUCGGAGCAGCCCUUGUAUUAUAGGCAUAAUCCUAUGAACUACAGAACACUCAAGCUCUGUUCUGAGUAAGCAGCAAACAGUUUAUUUUAAGACUGGAUUUAAAUCUUCAGUAUUUGUAAGCAUCAUCCCUGUGGGGGCUGACAGCAGUGACUGCCCGAAUUCACAUCCAAGGGUAUGCGUGCAGUGUGGGAAGUCCUUAUUCAGUGUCCUGUGGGUUUGGAUCCAUUUGAAUGGAAUUUCAAACAGUGCAUAGUCAAGAAGGAAAGCCAGCUUAUCCAGCCACUUAGCAGCAUUGAUUGAAAUCUUGGUGUAGGCACUAUUUGAACUGAGAUUUGCCAAAUAUAGAUAGUAUGUCAACUACUAAUGCCAGAAAUGUGUUUACAAUAACACAGUGAUACAAUAAAAACCAAGAAUAGAAGUUUUUACCUUAAGAUUAAUUUGAAAAGACUUUUAGAACUGUGUUUAUUGCUGAACAUAUCCUAGGGAUACAUAACCCUUAACCUCAGUCCUACUAGACAAGGCACACGCUAACAAGCUGGAGGAACUCCACCUGGCCUCAGCAUUAGGAACUUCAUGGGAAAAUAAAUGUGGGAUGAUGUUACUUUUGUUUGAUGUUCCAAUGUGAAACACUCAGAGGCGGCAUGCUCAAGCAGCUGAAUUAGCAGUGGAAAAACUCAGUAAUAUGCUUGCAUUUACACUCAGCUGUUUGAGUAUGCUAUUAUUACAUGGUGUACAAUAAGAUCCAGCUGUCCUCAGUGCCUGAAUGUGACCCAAUCAUAAAUUAUUGUAUAAAUGGCUUGGAUAAGGAUCCUAUAAUAUUUAUUGGAAGAAUACCACAUUGGAAUUGUGAUGUUCAUGCUACAUAUGAUUUCAUCUUCAUGUAUGGUACAGAUGGUUGGUAAUUUGUACUUCCUUUUUCCAGAAUAGCAGAUCAGAAUUUGUGGCUGGGUCCCAGAAUGAAGUUACAACUUCAGUGGUAAGACUUGACUCUCCAGAGGUCCCUUCCAGCUGCUACAAUUCUCUGAUUCUGCAUGAAUGAAAUCAUUGCAUUCCAGAGAAAGUGAACUGACAAAAAGUAGGUACCAGAGUCUCUUUUGAAGGGAGAUGAUUCAAGCAUGAUGGCAGAGGGAAGGCUCAGUCAAACCUUGGACCACUGUGGAACCAGGCCAAAGAUCCAAACUGGAGAGUGCCAGCCAGGAUGAUUUGUGCUACUGUGUAAUGAGAGAAAUCCUGCAUCUUUGGCUAUUCAUGGGUCUGAAAUACAGCCUGCUGCAGCUGAUAAGGUAUAAUGGGUUUCAGUGAGCUUCAGCACCUCUGAACUGAACACAGCAGAGAUCCAACAUGACUGAAGUUUCCAAGUCCAACUGUAAGCUUGAAUUCCUGGAAGUUUUCAUUCAAGAAUGACUGAAGAAUGUUGAUGCUGUGAAAUCAGACCCACAAUCUAAACAGAGGUCAGUUUCAAGCAUCAGAAUAAGUAUCUCUGUCCAUCUGGGUAUAACUCAUGAUCUUUUCCCUCCUUUCACUGCAGUAUCAAAUCCAUCCUCUCUCCCACAGUCACCAGAAAGCCUUUGAAUCACGUAGCAGGAUCUGUCCUAUUGUUGUCCAAAGACACACGUAAUGUUAUCAGGAGAAAAAGGCUGUUACUCACUCCUGGCUCAGAGUGAGUGGGGUUUUUUUGUCACUGCUCUUGUGUUGUGCUGUAAACAGCCCUCAAGUAGUUUAAAUACACUGCUUUGGUAAGUAGUUGAUAUUUAAUCAUUGUUUUUGUCGAUUGAGCUGUUGAAUAGGUGUCGUCUGUGGAUGUGCUGCAACUUCCAUCAGAGAGACAGAUUUUACAGCCUUAGAUCUUCUGUUUGUCUUUCACUUUAGAGGGAACCCUUCACAGGGAAGGCAGCCCAGGUGUCCAGACCCAGCAAGCACAGCGCUUUCAUCCGCUUUAUGGGAGCAUGACCAGCUGCAGGUCAUACAUGUCUGUCUGGAAGUCCUGAGUCCGCAGCUGCACAAAGAAGUGACAGACAGAUAAACAUUAAGACUUUAUAUUGAACUUAGGGUUGUUUUUGAUCUCUAGUUAGGCUGAAGUAAUCAGACCGAGUGUGGAACUUCCAAUUUUUUUGAGUUUUGUUAUAGUGCCAUUUUUACCAUUUUUUAAAUGUAUUUUUGGACUGUAAUUCCAGGAAAACAAAGUCUGCAGUUCCUCUAUCAUUGGCUCAAGUGAUCUGACUGGAGAAUCCGUAGAAGUGCCUUAGCAGCUAGUACAAAAAAGCACACUUAGGCUUGUUCAGACUUUGGUGUAUGGGCUUUGGAUUAUGACGUAGUUAUUGGAUUCAACGUAAGCUUGUGAUCAGAUAGUAUUACCUUUACAUUUUUCUGUUCCAUUUAUGAGGAAGUACAUUGAAGAUCAGGCUGUGAGGACACUUUAGUUCAGUGUUUAUUGAAAUAAGAAAAAUACCAGCAAAAAUUUUAUCAUUCUGAUCAAACCAGGAUUAUGAUAAAAAGUAAUUGGUUAUAUGUGUUACCCAUUCUGUAUCAUUAUAAGAUUAUGUAGAAUGAAAGCAAGAAUUUUAAAGAACUUGAAUGACAGUGAGUAUAGAAACUCAUAAACCAAUUUAAAUCUUCAAACAAAUAAAGAGUUGUUCUGACAUGCUCCAUUCUGAGCAGUAAUCAAGUAGUACUGCAACUAAUCACUCUGACACUAAGAUCUAUGCAAGAGAAAAGUUAUGCAGGAUACCUCCCACCUCCAUCCAGAGCCAGAAAGCUUGGGAAAGAGCUGAGCAUUGGGACAUCCUCACUUGUGCAACAGCAGCCAGAAGCUGGAAAAGAAGAAAAUGUUGGCACAAAGUGUGAAAGUCAAACUGAAGGUUCAACAAACAAGAGCUUUCAAGUGAAAGCAGGAUCCCCACCAACCACAGGGCUGAUACAAAAUGGAGAGAUGAAGCUGUUGAAGUGUGGGCUGGCUCUCUGAUGGGAAGGCUGUAUCCUUUCUACCCAUGCUUCACUAGAAGAGCCCGUGGUGUUUUCUGUAGUUUGUUCUAUCCGUUUCUUAAAUGUCUCUACUCUAAUGAGGUUGUCUUUGGCCCAAUUAAGUGAAACGUUUCUUCUUUAAGAAGUCAAAGCCAACAAACAAGAAAACCAGCAACUAAAACCCACAAUAAUAGGAUUUAAAAACAAAACCAAAUGAGUUUAUAGUAACAGACUGGCUACUAACCUUCCUGUACACAGAUUCUUCUGAUUUAUUUUUGGAAUAUGGCACUAAGCUCUGGAUUUCUUCAUGAAUGCUUUGAGAAUUUUACUUCCCCUGUCCUUUAUUACAGGAUACAACGUGCCACAGCUCUCAGAUCUUGUUUCCUUUCACUUUCUACCUUCAUUUGAAAGACUUUGUCCUCCUGGCUCUUCUGCACUGUAUUCCUUGGCUGCUUACAAUUGUUUCUGUGUGCCAAGACCUUUUCACAUAAUGUAACUCAAUCCAUGUGUCUACUUCAUAAAAUUCAAUACAAAUCUCUGGCACACGCUCUCUCAACAUCCGCUGCUACUUCAGCAUUUUUUGUAUCAUGCAUUUUUUACAAGGCUUUUGCAGCUCUGCAUUUUGGCAAUCAGAAAUAAAAGCAGCUUCUUUCCUGCUAUAGAUUUCCAAAAAAGUUUUGAAGUCUUGGUUUCCAGAUUUUUCAUUCAAAGCAUGGUGAUAAUCUGGCAGUUAAAAGUUUUGUUUUCCUAGUUCCUCUUGUUUUCCACGUGAAAGCUGAAGGUUUGAAGAUAAAUAUGCUGAAAAGGAGAAUGCUAAUAGGAAGCUUCACAGGAGGUGUUUGCUAUCAGUAGGUGUGUUGCUGGUAGUAACCAUGGAAACUUGUUUAGGAUGACCUCUUAUCUAUAGAAUAUAGACUGAAAAAAAGGGAGUACAAGGAGUAAAUAGAUGGAAACAGAAAGUGAAUUUUGGUUGUGGAUGAGUAAAUAAAGAUGCAUUGAAAGCUGGCAAAAUGAGACUCACAGGACAGUUCCCCUUCUCACAGACCCAUUUCAUCUCAGAUAAGGGAAAUUAGAGCCAGGCCCACAGGUCUGCAAGAAAAAUUGGCCUAAUGUUACCUCUCCUGUGCCAGCUUCUGAACUGGAUCAUGAGGAGUCUGAGAUACACCAGAGCACACAGACCUGUCUGAAAAAAAGCAGACUCAAACCUGUACCCAGGAUGACAGUUGCAGAGUUCGAUGGUAGUGCCACAGCACCUUCAAUGUAGGUUGAUGCCAAUGGUGACAGCCCAGAGCUCAUCACAGACCCUGUCAGCCACUUUCAUGGGUGUCCUUUUUUUCUUAAGACAAAUGAAUGGGGAAAAACAGAAAACAAAAACAGACUGUCACCUCAUUCAUCAGGCUGGACUCUCAUCCAAGAUGUCAUUUCUCUCAAGCUGCUUGAGCCAUCUGCUCCUGCUAAUAUCCCAUUGAAAAUGAAGAAUGUAUUCAGCUGCUUCUUCUAUACGCAACUUUAUGCAGGUCCAAUACAAAUAUUAUGGAUAUUGUACCAGGAAAACUACAAUACGGCACAAAAGGAAAACUGUGACCUGAGAACUCUGAGAAACAAAUGGGAAAGAAUGAAAAGUCUGAUCUUGUGACUCCAUUUGGAUUCUUCAUCCAGCACUGUGGAGAAAUUACAUAGAAAGAGAUGAAGUUCCUGCUAUUGCUGUAGGAGGAAUAACAAUAUAACGGAGAAGAACAAAGAAUAAUCUUAAGGUUAUGCCACAGGGAAUCAGGUGUGGUUCUCCUGCACUAGAGGUGAGCAAGAUCUGAUACUUGCAGGACAGCACCUAAGUUGGGAAGUCUUCUGAUUCAAGCCUACCAUCUUCUGCCUCCUCCCAACUUUUGCAUAUCUCAGCAAAUUAUCCCAGCUGUGAACCAUUCAAGGAGUGAGUUUCUUAUUUCCACUUGUCUGUAAUCAGGGCUUUAAAAAAUGCUGAUGCAAAAGCAAAGUUCAUCCAGAAGGAAUAUAAAAAGGGUGAAACAGCAGGACAAUGUAAAUUCAAGACCUCCGUAUUAUCUGCUAAGUUAGAAGGAAUUAAAUGUUUAUAUGGCAAGUUCUCGGGCACUCAGGAUAUGCAGGUACUCUUGCAGCCAAGAGACAUAAGCCAAGCACUUAAUUCUCCACAUAUGCCCUGCAUCCAGUUUUCCUGGGUACUGAAGUUUUCCAGCGGCCCCUGCAAUGCACGGAUGAGCUCCAUGUUCCAGCCCCUUCUCUCCCUCGGUACAGUUGGGAACAUGCUGCAGAGGACAUCCCUGAGUUCUGACAGCCAUACUCAGCUCUUGCAUCUUAGAUGCCUGUCCCAACUUCUGUGAGGCACAGAGAGACAGGAUGUUUUGGCACUUGUAGAAUGCAACCCUCCAAAACAGAGAAAUGAUGAGAUUUUAAGCCUUGCCUGUCUGCCUAGCACUCAAGUAAGACACAAGCAGUAACAGCUGGGUCAGCUAUGAGAAAAUUCUUUCACAUGAUUAAUACAGAGAGGCAGUUGUGACUUUUUAAAAUCCCGGAGUCUUUUUUGUUCUGUAUUUUUCCAUACUGAAAACCAGGCAGCUCCUCAGGAAGAAAGGAGUAAUGUUUCUAUUUGAGAAAGUAAGUGCUUUAGAGAAUGAUGCGGUUUACUAGACAUCAUGCACAAACCACAGCGUCUUCUGUCUGAGGAUUUGCAAAGUAAGCGCUGGAUUUCUCCUCACCACCCAAGGGCCAGCAGCGAGGAGGGCAGUAUCUAUUUGUGGAGAUCUUUGUCUCUGGGAAGUUUUCAAUGGAAAUUCAUUUGGAAUAAGCAAGCAAUGGAAAACUAAGAAAAGAGGAAGAAUGCUGUAAGAAAUUCUACUUCAGCUUCAAUGAGGAAUUCAGAAGAAAUCAAAGGACAAGGAAAAAAUGAAGAAUUACUAAGAGUAAGUGGAUGUGCCCCAUUGCUUGCAGACUAGGCACACGCUUGUGUAGAUGCGCCCCUUUGCAAGGUGCAACCUCCUGUGGACAUGCCUUUGUGUAGAUGCACCCUGUUGCUGUUGAGGCUCUCCUGUAGACCUUAAUAUGUUUCUGCCAGUUAUUGCAGUUAACAGCUUUACUUCUCACUGCUCAGUACUAUUGUGAAUUAGGCUUUAUUACUGCAUCCAAGUAACUGUUAUUGUAACUUUAAGCUGUAUUAUAGUUUAUUCAUAUAUUUAUUGUUUUAUUUUAUUAUAAUUCCCCUAAUGAACACAUAAAACUGUUAUUAAUCUAUCCAAAAUCUUGUUUAUUCGGGCCUUUUAGAGCAUUUUCUGGAAAAUGUUUCAGUGAUGAGAUUGAUAAAAUACCUUGCUUUAACCAUUAUAGCUUUAUGUAAAAGACCCAAACCAGCCCUGCCCAAGGAAAUCUAGAUUCAAACGUACUACCAAGAAAAACACCACUAUAUUCUCUAUUUCCUUCUAUUGCUUGAUGGAACAGAUCUUAAAAGUAUGAAGAAUCACUAACACACACAGCAAAUACUGGAAAAUAUUAUACAAACUGUGUUGUUGAACCUGUAUUUUGCUCCUGGAGGUGGCCCUUUCAAAACACAGCUGAGUGUCUCUGCCAGCACUUGGUGCCAAGGCUGAAACUGCUUACUUUGUGCAUGUACUUGAGUUAAAAGUUUCCAGUACUGCUGAUAUCUAGGAGGAUUUCUUUUCAGGAAGAAAUGCAAGAGAAAUCCUUAUUGUGGUAUUCCAUCUGAAAGAAGAGUUUUCAAACAACCAAAAAAACAGACACAAAUUUCUAGAGUUGGAAAUCUCUUUUUACAGAGUUCCUAAGGGCCAAGGGUCUACAUGAGUUCAAACUAACAGCAUCCUGCUAUUAUCAGUUUUAAAUGAUGCUGAAUUUGUGGAUUACUGGUAUUAAUAAUGUUUAGCCAAAAAGGAAACUACAGCUUAUAGUCUUAUGGCUCACUUAUGUGGUGCCAAACUCCUCAUUGAAUAUUUGAUCUUGCAGUCAAGAACUGAUUUCUGGUCACCACUCUCAGUGGUCAGAGGAUUACA